UAUGUUGUGAUGAUGGUUGUAUA
rnacentral:siRNA from 1 species